AUCUGAGAUUCCUGUUAAAUGUACAUGAGUUGGCUCUGCGCUGGUCUCCACAGCCACCCACUUCUACAUCAGGAAGGGAAGCCCGUGUAUUUCCUCCCCUUCUUUAUCGAGAGGAAGUGCUGAAAUAAGCAUCAGCAGCGGAGCGCCCCAGCACCUUCUCCACUAGCCACUCAGUUGGAGUCCGAGGAAGAAGUCGGAGGAGUUUACAGCCGCAGAAUCACCAUGAAGACCAUCAGGGUUCUUGUCCUCCUCCUGCUAGCAUCUGUCCAUGUCUUCACACCAGUUUCAUCAGAUCACUCAGGAGGGACACCAGCAGAAAUAACAUCGCCCACAACAGCAAAACCAACAGCAGCAGCAACAGCAGCACCAGCAGCAGCAGCAACAGCAGCAACAGC